rnacentral:rRNA from 1 species
UGCUGUUUCGCUGACGAGUGGCGGACGGGUGAGUAAUGUCUGGGAAACUGCCUGAUGGAGGGGGAUAACUACUGGAAACGGUAGCUAAUACCGCAUAACGUCGCAAGACCAAAGAGGGGGACCUUCGGGCCUCUUGCCAUCGGAUGUGCCCAGAUGGGAUUAGCUAGUAGGUGGGGUAACGGCUCACCUAGGCGACGAUCCCUAGCUGGUCUGAGAGGAUGACCAGCCACACUGGAACUGAGACACGGUCCAGACUCCUACGGGAGGCAGCAGUGGGGAAUAUUGCACAAUGGGCGCAAGCCUGAUGCAGCCAUGCCGCGUGUAUGAAGAAGGCCUUCGGGUUGUAAAGUACUUUCAGCGGGGAGGAAGGGAGUAAAGUUAAUACCUUUACUCAUUGACGUUACCCGCAGAAGAAGCACCGGCUAACUCCGUGCCAGCAGCCGCGGUAAUACGGAGGGUGCAAGCGUUAAUCGGAAUUACUGGGCGUAAAGCGCACGCAGGCGGUUUGUUAAGUCAGAUGUGAAAUCCCCGGGCUCAACCCGGGAACUGCAUCUGAUACUGGCAAGCUUGAGUCUCGUAGAGGGGGGUAGAAUUCCAGGUGUAGCGGUGAAAUGCGUAGAGAUCUGGAGGAAUACCGGUGGCGAAGGCGGCCCCCUGGACGAAGACUGACGCUCAGGUGCGAAAGCGUGAGGAGCAAACAGGAUUAGAUACCCUGGUAGUCCACGCC